rnacentral:rRNA from 1 species
UAGAGUUUGAUCCUGGCUCAGGAUGAACGCUAGCGAUAGGCCUAACACAUGCAAGUCGAGGGGCAGCACUUCGGGUGGCGACCGGCGCACGGGUGAGUAACGCGUAUGCAACCUACCUAUUACAGGGGAAUAACCCGGAGAAAUUCGGAUUAAUACCGCAUAAGACUGCGAUUUCGCAUGAAGUAGCAGUUAAAGAUUUAUCGGUAAUGGAUGGGCAUGCGUGACAUUAGUUAGUUGGCAGGGUAACGGCCUACCAAGACUACGAUGUCUAGGGGUUCUGAGAGGAAGGUCCCCCACACUGGUACUGAGACACGGACCAGACUCCUACGGGAGGCAGCAGUGAGGAAUAUUGGUCAAUGGGCGAGAGCCUGAACCAGCCAAGUCGCGUGCAGGAUGACUGCCUUAUGGGUUGUAAACUGCUUUUAUAAAGGAAUAACAACUGCCACGUGUGGCAGGAUGAAUGUACUUUAGGAAUAAGGAUCGGCUAACUCCGUGCCAGCAGCCCCGGUCAA